ACUCGCACGUGGGGAAUGGCUGAAGUCUGUGGUUUGCUCUGGUCUGUGACUGUGUCUAGUCUCUCGUAGAGUGUUUUUAGUCUACAGUACUGUCUGUUCUGAAAGUGAAACUCGUUGUCAUGGGCAAGUCGUCUAAAGAUAAGAGGGACGUGUAUUAUCGGCUGGCCAAGGAGAAAGGGUACAGGGCACGGAGUGCAUUCAAGCUCCUUCACAUUAAUGAGGAAUUUGAUUUAUUUAAAGGUUAGUUUGCCAGUACUUUGUAGAUUCUUAUAUACCACGCACUUGAAUAUAGCCUGUAUUAAUAUUUACAAUUGUGUGAUUGUUAUUAGAAGAUACACUAGUCUCGUCGCCCCGCCCCUUCGCUUUCUGAGGAAGGGUCUGGGGACACUCAAGGCUUUUUUGUUGCAUUGCGCUGGAAUGUUGGCGCACCAAUCAGAUUGCUCCAAACACAUGGUACAACCUCAAACUUGUUAAUAUCACAUGAUAUAAUUUUAAUAAAAUGGCCUCUAGAAGAAAGGUAGAAUUUAAAGGAGCUUCAUGAGGUCUGAGGUUCAAAGAGAAGUCAAGAAGGAACAGAAAUGGGUCUCACAAAGCCUGUUAUCGAUAUUUAGGAUAAUUUUUGUGCCUGCUGACAGGAUUCAGUGCUAAAUAAAAUGUCAAUCACUACUUUGGCUCAGUACUGUAUUAUGUCCUCUGGAAAAUAAGUUCUGGAGCAGAAAAACUCUUCCUUCGUCCCCUGGUCAAUGACUAAAGCUAGUGAGUUUGCCUCUUGAUGAACAACAAGUUAAGAAAUGGAGUACAUACUGUUAUGGAACUUGGGGAACUACUUCUACCUCAUCUGCAAAUGAUGUCUCUGACAGCCAUGGCUUUUAUAGCAUUCAUUAUCUGAUUAUACAAUUUUAGUCAAUUUUGCAUUAUUAAACAUACUGUUUUGAUCUGAUAACAAAAUGCAUUUAAUAAGUA